CCCUGCACUAGGGGAUGAGGUUAAGGGGUAGUGCCCACCCCUGCACUAGGGGAUGAGGUUAAGGGGUAGUGCCCACCCCUGCACUAGGGGAUGAGGUUAAGGGGUAGUGCCCACCCCUCCACUAGGGGAUGAGGUUAAGGGGUAGUGCCCACCCCUGCACUAGGGGAUGAGGUUAAGGGGUAGUGCCCACCCCUGCACUAGGGGAUGAGGUUAAGGGGUAGUGCCCACCCCUGCACUAGGGGAUGAGGUUAAGGGGUAGUGCCCACCCCUCCACUAGGGGAUGAGGUUAAGGGGUAGUGCCCACCCCUGCACUAGGGGAUGAGGUU